rnacentral:ribozyme from 1 species
GAGGAAGGGAAAAAAAAAAAAGAAGAAUGGGAGAGGGACGAGGAUACAGCUAAGGCUACAGCCUUGGCUAGGUUCCUCCUUGAGGCGUUCGUUUUUUUUUGUUUAUUAUUUUUUUUCUGGAUUGGAGGACGUUCUUAACAAGGAGAAGUCAGUCCUGAU